rnacentral:rRNA from 1 species
GGACGAACGCUGGCGGCGUGCUUAACACAUGCAAGUCGAACGCUGAUGGCCCAGCUUGCUGGGUUGGAUGAGUGGCGAACGGGUGAGUAACACGUGAGUAACCUGCCCUCUUCUUUGGGAUAACGGUCGGAAACGGCUGCUAAUACCGGGUAUUCACUGUCCUUCGCAUGGGGGGUGGUGGAAAGGUUUUUUCUGGUGGGGGAUGGGCUCGCGGCCUAUCAGCUUGUUGGUGGGGUGAUGGCUUACCAAGGCUUUGACGGGUAACCGGCCUGAGAGGGUGACCGGUCACAUUGGGACUGAGAUACGGCCCAGACUCCUACGGGAGGCAGCAGUGGGGAAUAUUGCACAAUGGGCGAAAGCCUGAUGCAGCGACGCCGCGUGAGGGAUGGAGGCCUUCGGGUUGUAAACCUCUUUCGCUCAUGGUCAAGCCGCAACUGUGGUUGUGGUGAGGGUAGUGGGUAAAGAAGCACCGGCUAACUACGU